rnacentral:rRNA from 1 species
UACGUAGGGUGCAAGCGUUAAUCGGAAUUACUGGGCGUAAAGCGUGCGCAGGCGGUUAUGUAAGACAGAUGUGAAAUCCCCGGGCUCAACCUGGGAACUGCAUUUGUGACUGCAUAGCUAGAGUACGGUAGAGGGGGGAUGGAAUUCCGCGUGUAGCAGUGAAAUGCGUAGAUAUGCGGAGGAACACCGAUGGCGAAGGCAAUCCCCCUGGACCUGUACUGACGCUCAUGCACGAAAAGCGUGGGGAGCAAACAGG